GAGAAUGCAGGCAUGAGUAGCGAAUGAGGAGUGGAAAACUCCUCCGCCGAAUGACUAAGGGUUCCUGGGCCAGGUUAAUCCUCCCAGGGUGAGUCGGGGCCUAAGGCGAGGCCGACAGGCGUAGUCGAUGGGUAACCAGUUGAUAUUCUGGUACCGGCUUGUCACCGUCCGUGUCGAGGUGUGUGAUGCUAAGCAUGUGAGCUUGUCUUGGGAGUGUUUUUGAUGCUUCUGGGGUGGGUGAGUGUGUGAACCGAUCAUGUAGUAGGCAAGCUGCGGAGGGACGCAGUGAGGUAGCUCAUCCCCGGUGAUGGUUGUCCGGGGCUAAGUGUGUGGACUGUCUGGUAGGUAAAUCCGCUGGGCGUGAAGGUUGAGGCAUGAUGGGGAGCCCACGGUUGUGGGUGAGUGAGUGAUCCUGUACUGUCGAGAAAAGCUUCGUGAGCGAGGUGGCGGGUCCGCCCGUACCCUAAACCGACACUGGUGGAUAGGUAGAGUAUACCGAGGCGAUCGAGUGAAUCGUGGUGAAGGAACUCGGCAAAAUGCCCCCGUAACUUUGGGAUAAGGGGGACCUGAGCUGUCGUGCACCCGUGCGGUGUGGUGGCGGUGAGGGGCGCAGAGUCCAGGGGGAAACGACUGUUUACCAAAAACACAGGUCUCCGCUAAGUCGCAAGACGAUGUAUGGGGGCUGACGCCUGCCCAGUGCCGGAAGGUUAAGGAAGCCGGUCAGCGUAAGCGAAGCUGGCGACUGAAGCCCCGGUGAACGGCGGCCGUAACAAUA
rnacentral:rRNA from 1 species